rnacentral:ncRNA from 1 species
GUUUCAGGGCGGAGUGAAAUUCUCCACCGGUGGUGAUAGUCCACGAACUGCCAGUUAUGGCAGCCGAUCCGAUGAAAUUUCGGUACCGACGGUUAAAGUCCGGAUGAAAGAAA